rnacentral:lncRNA from 1 species
AAGGAAGGAAGGAAGGAAGGAAGGAAGGAAGGAAGGAAGGAAGGAAGGAAGGAAGGAAGAGAAAGGCUGGUCUCUCCUUCCUCAGUUUUGUCUCUUCUAAAAGUGAUAUCUAGAGCAUUGUAACCCACAGGCAAAGCCACACCAUAUAUCAGUGAACAGAGAAACAACUGCCCUUCUCCGGGCCCCUGUCUGAGAAGCUGGAGCAUCAGCCCUGGAGCUCUCCGGAGCAGUUUCCUUGCUCACUGUCCCCAGCUGAACACAGCCGCAUGCAGAGGUCCAAAGCACGUAAACAGGAUACCCACCCUGCAUUAUCUUAUAUUUUAAGUCAAUAUGAAGAUGGACAUUCUACCCCUGAGACCAAUUUCGAUCAAAUACUUUUGUCAAUAAAAAGAUACUAAUGUCCGAGUGUGUCCAUUCCUCCUGUUGGUCUGGGUUCUGCUUCUCCACACACCAGCUGCCUCCAAGAGAGGCUUCCAUACUCCAGCAGCUCCUGGUCAGCCUGCACUUUCCUUUAUUCAAGCCAUGUGAGUGAGAAAUAUCAAGGGCAUGGUGGGUUGGCGGGGAGCUGCCCACUUAACCCCAUACCCCAGUGAGUGGGAAUGAAGAUAAAGCGAAUACAACUUACAAGCAUAUCUGGGAGACGCUUCACUGCUAUCCUUAGCAACUGCUUGUCUUCUGCUUCCAAGACAGAGCAGAGGUGUGGACCGUCUCUGAGCAGCUGCCCUGCUUGCCUACCCGGCAGGUAGGCUACCUGAAUCUCAGGUAGAACCUCUUCCUAAUUUUUUUUUCACUUCUAAAUUGUUUAUUGGGUAUGAAUUUUACAAGUGUUACUUGUAUUAGCAGUAACAGUGGAGUUGAAGAGUAUUAUAUGUUUCUAGGCUGCGCAGUGAGAGCCACAAUAGUGAGGUAAAACAGAUGUGGCCCAUUUCAAGGCCACAGCUCUUACUGAUGGCAGAUUCAGCUCGCUCACACCUCUCUGGGUUUGUGGGCCUGGUUUAGUGAUCCAGUGAGUGUCACAAUGUCUUCUUCUAGCCUUAUGGAAUGGAUCAUGUCCUUCCUACCAGAAAAGGGAAACACAGACACUCAGAGAUCUUUAGCUUCAUUCGCUGCUACAUGCACAAUGUCUGAAUGCUAGAUAAAUGUACCUGUCUGCUUCAUUGGUUCAUCUCACACACUGGGCUAUGACUAGGCAGGAGAACUCUGGGAUUUACCAGUGAACCAAACAGGCAUUCCAGUGGGCUCUCAAACAGCAGUAAUGAAUAAAUGCUGGUUAGACUGGGUUAGUCAGCGACUGCAGUAGAAGGAAGGAGGCAAUGUAAGAAGACUGAGAAUUGCAGCUUUAAACAGAGAAGGCAAAUGUGAGCCAGACCACCACGAGAGGGUGGAGGAGCUGGAGGGAUCGCUGUAGAGGGGAAGGGCAGAAUUUCCAGGCACUUGCAGGAGCCAGUGCCAGCAUCCCAGGGCAGGGAUGUGCCUGACCUAUUUGAAGAAAACUGAGUGCCUGAGAUGAAGGGAGUUGAAUGCUCAUGAUUAAAUCAGAAGAAUGAGUCUAAGCUUCCUGGGGUCUCCUUAACCACCCUGCACCACACAGAGCCUCCAGGGAGAGUAUACAAAGACACGACAGGACCCUGGACACAGCUGGCAAGAAGCAACAAGCCCAGCAUUUCUUUUUCAGGUAACAAAGCCACUUGUAACUGGCAAUGUCCUGAUUGGACCUGGACAUACAAACUCUAGGCCAGGGAAACUUGAGGG